AAGGACAUGUUAUUGGUUGGAAAGGGUUAAGAAUUUGUGAACAAAAGUGACGAGAUGAAAAGUUUUCCCGAUCAGCCAAAGUGCGGAGAAAUUACACGUGAAAGAGGAGUUCGGAAACAGGAAAACAGAGACAAGACAGGUGGGCAAGAUAGUUUGAUAGCAAACUUUGUAUCAUGUUCUCAAUCAGGACAAGUGUAAUGUUUCUUCAAGUCGGCAAGAUAUUUGAAUAGUUGAGUAAGGUGAAAACUCAAUAGUUUAGUGGAAAGUCUAGAUAGCUUAAUAAGGUGCUACCUAAACCGCCCACCAAGUUAUAUGAAUUUUUCAUAAAUCUUACUAAAUUAUUUAAACUUUUCAUUGAGCUAUAUGUGUUCUCCAUGUACUUUAGUGAGUUAUCAGACCUUUUUACCGAGCUAUUUAAGUUCUCCAUGCACUCUACGGGGUUAUCUGAAUUUUUUAUCGAGCUAUUCAGAUGACUUCCUAACCUGAAACAUAAUACAAGUAUUUUACUGACCUUACCAAAGUGGUAUAUGACACACGUUGGACAUUAAGCUAUCUUGUCAACCUGGAGACAAAUAGUUUGUCACAUUAAAAAAAAAUUAAAUAGAAUAAAGUUUGAAAGAAUAACAA
rnacentral:sRNA from 1 species